rnacentral:misc_RNA from 1 species
UUAUUGUAGUCACAUCUGCAACAACUGAACAACACAUGCACUCUUAGUUAUCUAAUCCUCAGAGAAGUUACCACUUGGAAAAAGCCAACUGAAAGGAAUAAUCCAAUGAUUGUUAUAGCUGCAAAUAUUAUUGCUGUUAGUCUUUUACUAAUCCAUUCAAAGGUGGAUUAUCCUCAUUAUUGGGACUAGACCUGGCCUAGGGCUAGUUAGGCCCGUGAACUGGGCUGGACUAGUUCAGGUCAAUGGCCUUAGGCCUUGAGCUGGUUCUGAAUAGGGGUUAGGGGCCAGUUACGGGCCUUUCCCCCUGAAUUGGAACCGGUCUGAUUUAAAAGCAUAUUUUCUUAUUUUUUUCUCUAAAAUUUACAUAGAGUUUAUAUUAAUUUUAAUUUUUUUUUACAUUAGCAAUUAAAUAAAUUAUAUUAAAAAAUUUAUUAGGUUUGAUAAUACCUAGGGCUGAAUCGAAAUUGUUUUGAAACUAUUUCGAACUGAAAUUGGGCCUAACUGUGAGAUUGGCAGAUAAAAUGGUUCCAGCCCGAAAUCAGACUAGAACCAGUCUCUGGCCGGGUCUAUUUGGGACUAUGAUUUUGUAGGAGCUUUUCUUUGAUAUUUGAUUGUUUCCUCGGUACGGUUCUUAAGAAAAAUAUCACAAUUGAUAUAAGCUGGCAUCAGGAAAGAUCACAUGGAUGGUGUAACAUAUAAAUCUCCGAAUUACAAAAACGAAAAUAACUCACUCUUCAGGAAGCUACAAUGUGGGG